CACCCAGCAGUGGGCUUGCAUCACAACCAGGCUUCUGGUUCAUGUGUGGGGAGACAAACACAAAGACUCCUCUUGGCCCCAGUCUCCUGGGCUUUCUCCAGGCAACCCUGGGAUUCCGGGAGUUUUGGGGGCAGGACCUAGUAGGGGACAGGAAGUGGGGGGAUCUUGAUCUGCUCACUUGCACCAGCCCUGGGCCAAGGACCUCUUUGGACAGUUUGGCUCAAAUGUAGAAAGAAGCCAGUCUGGAUAAGAUGGCCCGUCCUCUCCUCCAAGGCUACUGCCCCUGCAUUUUGCAUCAUCUGCUGAUGUAGUCACUAAACCACACUAGGUGCCAUGCCCUUUGCUGGGCAUUUGGUGGGCAAUAUAGACCCUGUGUCUUCCCUUAUGAAUCUUAUGUCUGAGAAAGAGACAGACAUGAGCAAAAUCCAUGAAUAAGCAAAGAGCUGCAUCUGUAAGGCUAUGAAGUGGCUCCAGUCUAGUCCUGGGGACUCUGGACAGGUUGAUGGCUGAGUGGAGAUGACUUAGGGGAGUGGUAGGGCAGGGCAGGGAGAUGAACUAGCUGGCUGGUUCCGAAUGCGCAAAGGCCCUGGGGCAGGAGGAGCCCAGCAGGUUCUAAACACUGGAGGAAUCGUGAGACAGCCAGUGUGACUGCAGCUCACAGAGCAAAGGCUGGCAGGCCAGAGAGGCCAAAUGAGAGGAUUCAUUCUCUAUCCUUCCUGCUCUGGACCCCCGGGGAGGUCAUAGUCAGGUCUGCACUGGGGGAGCCCACAGUGCUGCCUGAAAGGAGGAAGUGCUGCAGGGGAUGGAGGAGCAGCAGAGAGGCUCCUGGGGUAGCCCAGUUGAUGCAAUUAGGGCACAGCUUCUGCCCGCCUCCGGGGACCAGCCUGGGGACCUGGGACCCACAGCGCCUGCCCUCAGAGCGGGGAGCUGGAAGUGUCUUUCGGCUGAAGUAGCCCUGGCUGUGGAGUUUUCGCAGGUUCCUUCAUCUCUCUGAUCCUCUUUUCCCUAAUCUGUGAAGUGGGGACCGAGAAGCCCAUCUUGCAGUUCUGGGUCCUGCUCAGUAAAGUGGAAGCUUCCAGAGACGCCCAGGUGUUGAAACGGCUUUGCAGGGGGCUUUGCAGCUGCACCGGGCUGGGCAGGUGACAGGGCCCCAUGCAGAAUCCGAAUGUCAGGGAAGACCACACCGCGCCUGGAAGCCCAACACAGCCGAGAGAGAAACAGACAAUCAAGGCAUUGAAAAAGUGGAGGAGAAGCCUGGAAAAACUGGCUGGGGCCAAUGUCUAGAGGUAUGGGACUCCGGAUUCUCAUUCUGAAGGCCACAGGGAGCCAGUAACAGCUCUUGAGCAGGGCAUGGUUUGAUCCUUUUGCCAAGGAUUUGUCACCUUGGAGACAGCAGACGGACUCAGGUAAAAAUCUGGGGCUCUGCGGGGAGGGGAAGGUGGUGGGAUUUGCAGUUCUGGGAUUGACAAGAAAACAGGACAUGAGGCCAGGUAAAUAGGUAGACCAGAUGGCCCCCUCCAAAGUUCACGUUCUGUCUCUCCUGCAAUCCAGUGUUCUAGUUUCCAGGUAGGAAUUUCGUGGCAUAGGCGGCGAAGCCACUGAGGCACAGAGAAGGCCAAUCACCGCCCCAGGUCACGCAGCUAGGGUUGAGGCCUUGGAUGUAAGAUCCCUGCUGCACUCAUUUCAAGACUCCGGGUAGCAUGGGCUCCAGCUGCCUGGCCAGGCCUGCAGAUGGGGAUGAGGGCCAGCUGAUGGGGGACAGUCUUCUGGAGCCCCUCUCUGUAGAGCCAUGUGGCCCGAGGGGGAAGGGAGCCUGGUGGGCAGGGAGGAGCUGCCACAUGGAAGGAGGCUUGAUGGGAACCAUCUGGCCUGCGCUGGGAGUGUGGGCUGCAGGAGGAGGGCGGGGCAGGAGGUGGGCAGGAGGCCAUGGUGGGCUGGGCCGGCCCGCUGGUGGAUGGCGGCCGGGGCUGGGAGCGGUGGCCCAGGAGGCCCCUGCCUUCCAGACGGCUGUAGCCCAGAUGCCUUUGCAGCCGGCCUGGCCCCGUCCAACCCGCUGACCUCAUUCCCAGCGCCUCCUCCCUCCCUCGCAGGCUCCUCGCCCUGCCUGCCACGUAGACUCGGCCACAGGGGGAAGGAGAGUGGGACCCAGGUGCCCUGAGCCCAGAGCCCUGCCAGGACCUACAGAGCUGUGGGCAGCCGCUGUGACCACUUGGGGCCUCAGUUUCCUCUCCCCAAACAUGAGGUCCGGUAAAUGAGGGGACUGGGGUGAUGGGAGAAGCCAGAUGAGAAGCAGGGGUGGAGUGAGGAGCGGGGAACCAAGGGGGCUUCCUGGACUCGUGAGAGCCUUCCCCGCCUUCUGGGCUCCCGGGUGCUGUCCUCACAUCUCAGCAUCGCACUGGCUGUCGGGUGCAGAGAGCAGCACGCUGUCCCCUGUCGGGCUCCUCAGAGCCCCCAUCCUGCCCCCCGGCCCGGCGUAUCUGCCUCCCUGCCCCCCAGGUCCUGGUGUUACUGUCCUGAGGAGCUGGGGCUGUCCCUGCCGUCUGCCCAGGCGUUCCCGGCCGGUGAGUCAUCGGGAAUGUCUGCUCUGGCUGCAGUUUCCCCCCUGGCCAGGGACCCUCUCCCUCCUCGCCGGAACUCAGAGUAGAGGGUGCUGCUCCCAGGCAGGGGCUGGGGUGGGAGGAACCCAAGCCCAAGGCUGCCCUGAGGCCCGGUCCCCCACAGGCAGGAAAGGCAGAAGGGGACUGGGGCCUCCAGAGGCCAUGUCCCCAUCACAGAUAGACAGCCUGUCCUGGUGCCUGCUUCCCAGGCAGGGACACCAAGGAAAGCAGCUCGGUGAGGCCCAGACAGAGUUUGAUGUGCUCAGGCUCCCAACACCACACUGUUCGGGGCUCAGCUUUGCAGAACUGGGAGUCUGCUCAAGCCUCUUUUGGAAGGGCCCUCCCCAGUCAGCUGGGCCUGGCAGGGAAAGCUGGAGAGGCCGCCCCUCCACGGAUGAGGCAUCCUGGCUGGGGUGCGGUGUCCACGUCCACAGGAGAGGGGGGCCCUGGAUCAGUUUUUGUUUGUUUGUUUGUUUUUGAGACAGGGUCUCACUAUGUAGCCCAUGCUGGCCUUGAAAUCACUGCGUAGUCCAGGCUGGCCUCAAUAUCACAGCAAUCAUCCUGCCUCAGCCUCCUAAGUGCUGGGAUUACAGGUGUGGAGCACCAUACCCAGCUGGAUUUGUUGUUUAGAGAGCUAGGUUCAGUGCCUGAGUCGUCUACUGACUGUGAGCAUUCACAUCCCAGUACUGUGCCUCAGUUUCCCCAUCGGUAAAACAAGGGGGCUGGACAGAAAGAGUUUCCACUCUCGGAUUAAUCUAUGAUUCUGUGUCUUCCCACUGAGACCGACCCUUGCACUCACAUACACACUCACAGAUACACUCUUCACUCCUACAUUUGGGCACAAUUUUUGUUCCCUUCUGCCUGAGGGCUCCCACACCCCCACAUUGUCACCAUUGCUUCUCCUCCUGAGGUCACAGGCAGGACAAAGGUGAGCCACAGCAGAAGCUGAGAGGUUUGUGCUCCAGAGUGUCAGACCUUCAGCUCCCUCAAGGGUCCCACCUCUGCGGUUUGGGGGUGGGAGGGGCCGGGGACGGAGCAGAGAAAGUCUCGCUUGUUCCCACCCAGCUGGGCACCUGCACAAGGGUGGCCCUCGCUUUUCCUUCCCGGACAUCACUAGCUCUCCCUUCCAAAAACUCCGGUCCCCCGGACACCCAGGGACCUCCUCCACCCUCAGGCCAUCUUUGCAGCUUGGCCUGGCUCUGGCCCCAGGCUGCACCCUUCGAGGAACUUCUGCUGAGGAGCUGCUCAGAGCUCGGAAGGACCUUCCCGAGAGGAGAGGAGGAGAGAGAGAGACACAGAGAGAGGUGGAGCCAGUUUCCUGGAGUCACAGAGCUGGGAAGUAGCUGCACUGAGAUGAAAACCCAGAAAGUCUCAUGCUUCACUCAGAGACCCAGGACGGAUGCCAAGUGGACCACCCCACCCCACUGCAGAAGUGGCUGUUUGCAGGAAUGCGCUGUCUCCUCUUGGGCUCAUGCACGGGAAGGACCACAGCAUAACGUGGCUGAAACUGACCACAGGCACUAGCCGAGUGGCCAGUCCCAGCUACCCCGCCUCUGCCUCCCGUCUGCCCAGGGGCUACUGUGAGCUGACCACACCACGACACACACAGCAUCUCAUUUAUUUCAUUAAAAAAAAACUCUCCCUCCAUUUAUUUUCCUUUUCUUUUUCUCUAUUUUUCAUUAGUGUAUAUUUGUGACAUAAGAAAUGCAUUCAUCAUGGGGAAUCGGCACCUAUACAAACUCUGGUCUUAAUCCUUUUUACUCCCUUUCUCUCCCCACUCUCCUAUCUCCACCACCCUCAGACUCCCCCUCCCCUCCUUUGCUUUGAUUUAUUGAUCCUUUGUAUUGGGUUUUUUGGUACCGGGAUCGAACUCGGGUCCUUGUGCUUGAGCAGCAGGCAACGAAACCACUAAGCUAAAUCCCAGGCCCUGUAUUGGUUUUUAAUCUCAAUUCAUUAAUUUCCAUUCUGAUCAUUACAAUCUCUUUCCUUCUAUUAGUUUCAGAGUUGGGUUGCUCUUGUCUUUCUAGGACCUUAAGAUGCAUCCUCAGAUUAUUUAUUUGGGAUCACUCUAUUAGGCCCUAACCUUCCCUCUCAGAACUGCUUUCAUUGAGUUCCACAGGUCUUGAUAUGUUGUGCUUUCAUUGUCCUUUGAUUCUAGGAACUUGUAAAUGUCUUCUGUGAUCCGUGGAUUAUUCAAUAGCAUAUUCUUUAAUCUCCCUGUAUUUGAGUAAAAUAGUUUCUGUGGCUUCUUUUCCUGUUGAUUUCUACCUUCACUCCAAUAUGGCCCCAUGGUAUGCAGGGGAUUAUUUCAGUUCUUUUGUACUUAUUUAAGCAGAUUUUGUGGCCUGAGAUAAUGUCUAUUUUGGAAAAAUCUCUGUGUACAAUGUCUCAUUUACUCUUCAGAAUGGCUCUGGGAGAUCAGCUAAUACCUCUACUUUACAAAAGGAGACCCUGUGGCCCAGAAGGGCCAAGGCAUUGCCCAAGGACUCCUUCUUAGAGCUGAGAGAACCCAGCAGCCCCAAAGCUGGAACAGCCUGUGAGUCCCCUAGUGCAGAUCCACACUGCACAUGCAUGGACCAUGCACACCCCCACCCCCUAGCGAGACCCUGCCUACCAAGUUCCACUGCAGUGCUUCAUUCCUUCUUGUGGACAGUGCCCUGAGGAAGGACAUUCUGUAAGUGAGGGGACCCUAGCCCAGCCCAGAAGCACCCUGCACAUACCACAACCCAUGAUUACGCAUGCAUGGAGCUGUUACACGACAACCAAACCACUAUAAGAGCCCCACGGUAAAAGCUAAAGGUUCUAGGUGUUUUCUGGGUGUUGGCUCCUGUUCACUGAAUGGCCUAUGCACAGUGGAUGGGGCAAUGCCUCUGUUACCCCUUCUUCCUGAGGAGCCUCCUCCCUAGCACGCUGGGGCCUGUGGGUCCUGGCUCCAGGGGUGUUUGGAAAAUACUCACCUGGUGCUUGAGUGAGGAGACAGACCCAAAGGGGAUGGGCUCUGGGGGGCAGGGCUGGGGGGCAUGAUGUCUCCCUGUGCUUUUGCAUCGCCUUUGGCUUUGUGCACCCACCUGACUGUCUAUCUCCUGCCCUUCCACGUCCCUUCCCUGGUGGUCAGCCCCUCGUGGGGACAAUGGAUUGGGGGCUUGUUUGCCCACAACCAGAGUGGACCCACAUCUGAGCAGGGCCCACUCCAGGCCUGUCAGCUCCACUGAGAACCUUUUGCACUGGGCUUCUCUCUGCCCAAGACAGGGCACCUCCUCCUGCUCCAGCCUUUCCACACUGUCCGUGGCCGCUGACAGCUACAGGUCAGCCUGGUGGCCCAGUCUGUGAGUCUAGGACGCAGCUUCCGAAGCCUGAUCUAGUUCAAUGCUUUGAUGUCUGCCCUUGCAGUGAGCCUGCCUCCUCCAGGUCCUUCUUCAGACCUGUCUCCUCUUUCCCAAGGAGUCCUUUACUUCCUGGGGCAGCUGACAAUAAGGAAACAGGAAUCUGACAGCUCAGCAUUCACAGAGAAAUCUAGGGGCAAGAGUACCAGUGGCCUGACUGCCAGCUUCCUCACAUCUGGAUCCUACCUGACUCCCAGAUUGGCCUCCUCCAGGAAGUCCUCC
ensembl:lncRNA